UACGGAGGGUGCAAGCGUUAUCCGGAUUCACUGGGUUUAAAGGGUGCGUAGGUGGGUCUGUAAGUCCGUGGUGAAAUCCCCGAGCUUAACUUGGAAACUGCCAUGGAUACUAUAGGUCUUGAAUACUGUGGAGGUUAGCGGAAUAUGUCAUGUAGCGGUGAAAUGCUUAGAUAUGACAUAGAACACCAAUUGCGAAGGCAGCUGGCUACACAAAUAUUGACACUGAGGCACGAAAGCGUGGGGAUCAAACAGG
rnacentral:rRNA from 1 species